UUCAAGUUAACUAUUUGGCAUUAGAAAAAUUAUUUUGAUAUGGCUUCCAAAGUGAUGACUUUUCUUCUUAUCAUCUUGGUGAUAAAACUUUGUGUUUCGCCAAAGGUUGAAGCAAGAAAUGUCAAGUUAUGUUGCUUUUGUGAGAAAACAGAAGAUUGUAAGAGUUUUUGUGGUAAUAAACCUCCGUAUCGUUGUGUACUUAAUAUAUGCGCUUGCUCAAAUGAUGUGUCUCCGAAAAUUGAGUUGCAUGAACUAAUGAGGGCAGAGACUGAUGAAUCGGGACUUCAUUGACCAAAUAUUAAAAAAGAACAAUGAGAGGUGUUGGAGUUAUAGAUUUUACUUCCAAAAUAAUUGAUAUUCAGUUAUUGAUUAUAUGUAAUUUCCAACAAAGCUAAAGCAAAAUAAGAAAACUUUCUAUUUCUA